GAUGAACGCUAGCUACAGGCUUAACACAUGCAAGUCGCGGGGCAGCAUGGGGGUUGCUUGCAAUCCCCGAUGGCGACCGGCGCACGGGUGAGUAACGCGUAUCCAACCUGCCCUUCACCACGGGAUAACCCGGCGAAAGUCGGACUAAUACCGUAUGUUGUCCAUUGACGGCAUCUGAUUUGGACGAAAGGUUUGGCGGUGAAGGAUGGGGAUGCGUCCGAUUAGCUGGACGGCGGGGUGACGGCCCACCGUGGCGACGAUCGGUAGGGGUUCUGAGAGGAAGGUCCCCCACACUGGAACUGAGACACGGUCCAGACUCCUACGGGAGGCAGCAGUGAGGAAUAUUGGUCAAUGGGCGUAAGCCUGAACCAGCCAAGUAGCGUGCAGGAUGACGGCCCUAUGGGUUGUAAACUGCUUUUAUGCGGGGAUAAAGUGGCCCACGUGUGGGUUUUUGCAGGUACCGCAUGAAUAAGGACCGGCUAAUUCCGUG
rnacentral:rRNA from 1 species